AAAAAACCUGAAGCACUAAAGGCUUUUUCUUUUUUCCCAUAACAUUUGAGAAUAAUUGGAAGAAAGAGGGGAGAGUAGAAAAGAGGCUGCUAUCUGCAAACUGUGAAAGUUCAUGUUUGGGGUUGCGACAGAGGACUGGCAGCAGCAAGGAGACUUAUGGCAUGGCAGCACUGAUGUGGUUGUGUACAUCUCUGAGGUUCAUUGCUGUUUUUUCUGCAGUCUGUGAAUUGUCUUCCAUCCUGUGCUUCAUUCCAAAUGGACCAGACUCUGGGGAACAGUGCAGACUACUACUUUGUGUUGUCACCUAGUGUGCUGACAGGAUGAAGAAAAGUGUUUG
rnacentral:lncRNA from 1 species